GUCCCAGUAGUGCAAUGGGUAGCGAGUUGGACUUCUAAUCCAAAGGUCGUGGGUUCGAAUCCCGCCUGGGAUA